GAAGGAGAGCACGAGCCGGAAAUGGAAAAGCCGGUACAAGCGUAUAGCAGUCAUGCAGGCAAAACCGCAUGAAAAAUGUAAAGCGUUAUGUGGAUCGAACAUUAGUAGAGAAGCGUGUGAGCCAGCUGCCAAGAAAAGCCGCUAUUGCUUCAUAAGUACCCGUACCGUAAACCGACACAGGUGGAUGAGGAGAGAAUCCUAAGGCCGGCGGGAGAAGUGUUGUUAAGGAACUCGGCAAAAUGACUCCGUAACUUCGGGAGAAGGAGUGCCACAGAGAUGUGGCCGCAGAGAAAUGGCCCAAGCAACUGUUUAGCAAAAACACAGGUCUGUGCAAAACCGAAAGGUGAGGUAUAUGGGCUGACGCCUGCCCGGUGCUGGAAGGUUAAGAGGAGAGGUUAGAGCAAUCGAAGCUUUGAAUUUAAGCCCCAGUAAACGGCGGCCGUAACGAUAACGGUCCUAAGGUAGCGAAAUUCCUUGUCGGGUAAGUUCCGACCCGCACGAAAGGCGUAAUGAUUUGGGCACUGUCUCAACAACACACCCGGUGAAAUUGAAAUACCAGUGAAGAUGCUGGUUACCUGCGCCAGGACGGAAAGACCCCAUGGAGCUUUACUCCAGUUUGAUACUGGGAUUCGGUACUGUCUGUACUGGAUAGGUGGGAGGCUAGGAAAUGGUGACGCCAGUUGCCAUGGAGCCAACCUUGGGAUACCACCCUUACAGUACUGGGUUUCUAACCUGCAGCCGUAACCCGGCUGGGGGACAAUGUCUGACGGGGAGUUUGACUGGGGCGGUCGCCUCCGAAAGAGUAUCGGAGGCGCUCAAAGGUUCCCUCAGAACGGUUGGAAACCGUUCGAAGAGUGCAAAGGCAGAAGGGAGCUUGACUGCGACACCGACGGGUGGAGCAGAUACGAAAGUAGGACUUAGUGAUCCGGUGGUAUAAAGUGGGAUUGCCAUCGCUCAACGGAUAAAAGCUACCCUGGGAUAACAGGCUUAUCACUCCCAAGAGUUCACAUCGACGGAGUGGUUUGGCACCUCGAUGUCGGCUCAUCGCAUCCUGGAGCUGUAGCAGGUUCCAAGGGUUGGGCUGUUCGCCCAUUAAAGCGGUACGCGAGCUGGGUUCAGAACGUCGUGAGACAGUUCGGUCCCUAUCCGGCGUGGGCGUAGGAUAUUUGAGAGGAGCUGUCCUUAGUACGAGAGGACCGGGAUGGACAAACCUCUGGUGUAUCUGUUGUUUUACCAAAGGCAUGGCAGAGUAGCCAAGUUUGGCAGGGAUAAACGCUGAAGGCAUCUAAGCGUGAAGCCCCCCUCAAGAUAAGAUAUCCCAUCUUCGGAGUAAGACCCCUUGAAGACUACAAGGUUGAUAGGCUUUGUGUGUAAGUGCGGUAACGCACUCAGCUGAGAAGUACUAAUAGGUCGAGGACUUACCAAA
rnacentral:rRNA from 1 species